GGCAGCCGAGGCACUGAGCAGCCCCCAGCCCAGCAGCAGCAGCAGUGGUGGCGGCGGCGGCGGCGGCGGCGGUGGUGGAGGCGGGCGG
rnacentral:miRNA from 14 species